GACGAACGCUGGCGGCGUGCUUAACACAUGCAAGUCGAACGGAAAGGCCCUGCUGUUGUGUGGUGCUCGAGUGGCGAACGGGUGAGUAACACGUGAGUAACCUUCCCUUGACUUUGGGAUAACUGCAGGAAACUGGGGCUACUACCGGAUAGGUGCUCCUGCUGCAUUGUGGUGGUUGGAAAGGUUCGGCGGUUGGGGAUGGACUCGCGGCUUGUCAGCUUGUUGGGCGGGGAGUGGCUUACCAAGGCUUUGAUGGGUAGCCGGCCUGCGAGCGUGACCGGCGACAUUGGGCAUACGACUCGGGCAAGCAUCCGACGGGAGGAAGCAGCGGGGAAUAUUGCCCAAAUGGAGGAAGCCCGAUGCAGGAACGACGGGUGCGGGAUGACGGCCCUUGGGUUGUAAACCGAUUUAGCCUGUGACGAAGGGUGAGCUACGGUAAUGGGUCAAGAAGCAACGGCUAACUACGUG
rnacentral:rRNA from 1 species